UAUUAUAUGCGCUGAUGAGCUGAUAAAUUACAAGUGCUCAUUAAAGUCUUUUGGGAGUCCAAUGGCAAUGAGGUAAAGGGCCAAAAUUGAUCCAAGAAGUAAUAAUAUUCUUAAGCUCAUCAAGUUCACGUAAUCAAGUUUCUUUUAUAAUUCUAUUAUUUAUUUAUGAUUUUAUUCUAUAUCUUUGCAGCCAAUUGGUGGAGCCAACAUGGGUGUAGUUCUCCAAAUUUACAAAAGUUGAUCAUUCAGAUCUUAAACCUAACCACUUCCUCAUCCGGUUGUCAGCGCAAUUGGAGUGCUUUUGAAGGGAUUCAUACAAAGAGAAGGAACAAGCUUGAAU